rnacentral:tRNA from 1 species
GCGAGGGUUGCCGAGCCCGGAAAAGGCGCGGGACUUAAGAUCCCGCUCCGCAGGGAUCCGCAGGUUCAAAUCCUGCCCCUCGCA